GUAGGGGAUAACACCUGGAAACAGAUGCUAAUACCGUAUAACAGAGAAAACCGCAUGGUUUUCUUUUAAAAGAUGGCUCUGCUAUCACUUCUGGAUGGACCCGCGGCGUAUUAGCUAGUUGGUGAGGUAAAGGCUCACCAAGGCAGUGAUACGUAGCCGACCUGAGAGGGUAAUCGGCCACAUUGGGACUGAGACACGGCCCAGACUCCUACGGGAGGCAGCAGUAGGGAAUCUUCCACAAUGGACGCAAGUCUGAUGGAGCAACGCCGCGUGAGUGAAGAAGGGUUUCGGCUCGUAAAGCUCUGUUGUUAAAGAAGAACGUGGGUAAGAGUAACUGUUUACCCAGUGACGGUAUUUAACCAGAAAGCCACGGCUAACUACGUGCCAGCAGCCGCGGUAAUACGUAGGUGGCAAGCGUUAUCC
rnacentral:rRNA from 1 species